UACAGAGGUGGCAAGCGUUGUUCGGAAUUACUGGGCGUAAAGGGCGCGUAGGUGGCCUUCUUAGUCAGACGUGAAAUCCCCAGGCUUAACCUGGGAACUGCGUCUGAUACUGGGAGGCUAGAGUGCGGGAGAGGGAUGCGGAAUUCCAGGUGUAGCGGUGAAAUGCGUAGAUAUCUGGAGGAACACCGGUGGCGAAGGCGGCAUCCUGGACCGACACUGACGCUGAGGCGCGAAAGCUAGGGUAGCAAACGGG
rnacentral:rRNA from 1 species